GGAAGUGACGUCAUUGCAGCCAUUUUGAAACCGUAAAUGGAGAUCUUUACUUUUCUUCUGAUUUUCUGUAGAGAGAAAGAGAUUCAGGUAAGUACCACGUGAUGACCCUUUGUCUUGCGAUAAUUCACUCACCUUUAGGCUCUUUGACUGCCUCCAACUCGCACGUGUGUGACAAUAUAUAUA